AGCAGCCGCGGUAAUUCCAGCUCCAACAGCGUAUAUUAAAGUUGUUGCAGUUAAAAAGCUCGUAGUUGAAUUUCGGGAUCAAUCUAUCGGUCGUGCAAUAGUACGUACUGAUUUUAUUGAUUCCUUCCUUCUGAUGAACUAUGAUGUCAUUAACUUGGUGUCAUAGGGGAAUCAGGACUGUUACUUUAGAAAAAAUUAGAGUGUUUAAAGCAGGCUCACGCUUGAAUACAUUAGCAUGGAAUAACGAAAUAGGACGUUUGAUUCUAUUUUGUUGGUUUCUAGGAUCGACGUAAUGAUUAAUAGGGAUAGUUGGGGGCAUUAGUAUUCAAUUGUCAGAGGUGAAAUUCUUGGAUUUAUUGAAGACUAACUACUGCGAAAGCAUUUGCCAAGGAUGUUUUCAUUAAUCAAGAACGAAAGUUAGGGGAUCGAAGACGAUCAGAUACCGUCGUAGUCUUAACCAUAAACUAUGCCGACUAGGGAUCGGAUGAUGUUAAUUUUUUAAUUGACUCAUUC
rnacentral:rRNA from 1 species